rnacentral:rRNA from 1 species
GAAUUCACUAGUGAUUGAGUUUGAUCCUGGCUCAGAUUGAACGCUGGCGGCAUGCCUUACACAUGCAAGUCGAACGGCAGCGCGGACUUCGGUGGCUGACGAGUGGCGAACGGGUGAGUAAUACAUCGGAACGUGCACCAAGAAUGGGGGAUAACGCAGCGAAAGCUGUGCUAAUACCGCAUACGAUCUACGGAUGAAAGCAGGGGACCGCAAGGCCUUGCGCUCAUGGAGCGGCCGAUGGCAGAUUAGGUAGUUGGUGGGAUAAAAGCUUACCAAGCCGACGAUCUGUAGCUGGUCUGAGAGGACGACCAGCCACACUGGGACUGAGACACGGCCCAGACUCCUACGGGAGGCAGCAGUGGGGAAUUUUGGACAAUGGGCGAAAGCCUGAUCCAGCCAUGCCGCGUGCA